rnacentral:lncRNA from 1 species
UAACCUGACCUUCACAAAGGACCCUGCCUUUUAUCUUGCCACCUCCCUACAGACAUCUUUUCAGUUGAUCUCCUUCUAGGUGCUUUGUAAUCAAAGUGAGGUUUUCAGACAGCAGCAUCAGUCCUACCUAGGGGCUUACUAACAUGCAGAAACUCAGGAGUCAUCCAGCUGUGGGGGGAAGGAGAAUCUGCAUUUCCCAGGUCAUUCCUGCACACAUCAGUUUGAGAAGCCCUGCCCAAGACAUAGAAGCUGCAAUCUUGCUUCUAUGUCUUUGCUUAUACUGUUCCCUCCUGAAUGCUGUCUCUUCUUCCAUCCACUUCGUGCACAGAGGACAAGACCAUGUGAACACACAGUAAGAAGGCAGCUAUCUGCAAAGAAAAGAGGCUGCACCAGAAACCAGCUUUGCCGGCACCUUGAUCUUGGACUUCUAGCCUCCAGAAUGUGAAAAAAUAAAUGUUUGAGCUUC